rnacentral:rRNA from 1 species
GAUGAACGCUGGCGGCGUGCUUAACACAUGCAAGUCGAGCGAACAGACCAUGAGCUUGCUCCUCUGACGUUAGGGGCAGACGGGUGAGUAACACGAGGAUAAACCACCUAUAAGACUGAGAUAACUUCGAGAAUCCGGAGCUAAUACCGGAUAAUAUAUUGAACCGCAGGGUUCAAUAGAAAAAGACGGUUUUGUUGUCACUUAUAGAUGGAUCUGCGCCGCAUUAGCUAGUUGGUAAGGUAACGGCUUACCAAGGCAACGAUGCGUAGGCGACCUGAGAGGGGGGUAGGCCACCCUAGAUCGGAGACGCGGUCCAGAGUACUACGGUAGGGAGCAGAAGGGAAUGGUCCGCAAUGGGCGAGAGCCUGGCGGAACAACGCCACGUGAGUUGUAGAGGUCUUGCGAUCGUAAUACUCUGUUAUUAGUGAAAAACAAAUGUGUAAGUAACUAUACACUUCUUGACGGUACCUAAUCAGAAAGCCACGGCUAACUACGUG